UUUUACAAGAUUAAAAAUCCUCUAAUGUCUUUAGCAAUUUUACAGGUUAGCCCAGGAAGUGAACUAGGAGCAUCCCUGAAGAAACUCAAGAAAGAAUCAAUUUUUAGUCAUAGAAAAUGGAGAGUAUUUUUCUUAUAUUUGCAUUUUUUUCAACAUGUUUCUGCAACCCAGAAAAACACAUGCAGGCUUCCAUUUCUUCCUAGACAAUCCUACUCCACUGUCUAUGUUCAUAUACAUAUUCUCUGAACAAACAUCCCAAGGGAAAUUGAUUUCUGCCCUUUGGUCAAUGGAGUUGAUUCACAACACUGAAUGAAGGGCCUCUGGAUGCCCAUUCAGGGGAUAGUAGAUCCUGAGAGACCUUUUGUCCUUCUACUUUGUCCUUAUUCCCAACUACAGAGGACAGGAUAACUUACUGACAAGCUUUCAUGACUAUUUUCAUGGUCACAGAAAAGCAGAUUAAAUAUGAUUGCCUCCAUCCCCAGAACUGCAGUGACCAGGUUAACCUUCUGAUAAUCUUUCAUGACUACUUACAAAGUCCUAGAGAAGUGGGGGAGACAUGACUGCCUCCAUCCCCAGUAGAAGUUGUGAGUCAGGGGAUCCAAAUCCCCAAGCCACCUGUUGUGUGCCCAGCUCUCUCCCCCUUAGCUACUCCAAGUUAACUUCGCCUGUAUCAACUGCAACAGUCUCUCUACUCCCUCUACAUUGGCUAACACUCAAUUUACUCUCAGAGGAGUUAGAGAAGAGUUUUUGUUUAACUUGACAUUUCAUUUUGUCUCCUACAAAGGAAUGCCCUUACAGAAAUCUCAUUUCCUAACUGUUAGGCCAUUUGCUUGAGACAUUUUUACUCAAGGGAAGGUAUAAAAAACAACAUGUACUGAAUAUUUCAUUCCACAUAGAUUGCUGAGAGAUUAACAGAGGAUGUGGAAUAUAGAAAGUGCACAAUAACUAUUGCUAUUCACAAAUGGCACUGGCAAACAAGUGUAAAAUCUCGCAAGCGGAGGAGACAGGCAUGGUGGCAGGGACUUAACAGCAGAGUUAAGUUGAUGAGACAGAAAUGUGCUGCAGGACCCAAGAGAGCUGAAAUCUGGAAGACGGCGAGCAGAGGCCAAUCUACACAGAGGCCUGAGACACUUAGACAUGGCACUCCCUUCCAAUGAAAGAAGGCUGUUUCAUCAGACACGGAAGAAGAACAUCAACAAAGAAGGAUGUCUUUACGAUGCUUUUUGGUUCACUCAAUAGCUCUUCCAAGACCAAACACUACAAGGAGGGCUUUACCCAGAUGGGUUCAGAGACAAUGUGGUCCCACCACAGAAGCCUGUUCUCAUGGUGCGUGGCAUCUGGUCCUAUAGGGUGGUGGUGGCAGGGAGAGGGGCGGUCUUCGCGGUAGAUGAGAUUUCUUUUGCAAAACCACCAUAUGACACAGCCUUAAAGAAAAUCAUCUGCCUUUGCCAAGAUUCAACCAAAACUUCAAAGGAAUUUGAAUUUCCUUACUAUGGAUUUAAAGACCUCCAAAGAGGGAAGCCCAGAUUUGGAAACAAGAGCAGCAAAGCCAACUAGUACUUCCUGAAGGCUUCAACCAGAUAAAACCUCAGUGCUUAGAAAUGCUUACUGUAGCUGACCAGUCGUGACUAUGAAUGCCCACACCAUAAAACAUCCCUGUCAGGAAACUGUGUUAAUUUCUCUAGGUUUUGCAGAUGAAUACAGGGGAGCACACAGAGAAGAUGAAUAGGUUUGCCUGCAGCCCUUCAGUGAGUCAUUGCCAAUCUGAGAAUUACAACUCUGAGCUCCCAACUUGCAGCUCUGAGCUCACACCUUCAGGAUGAGUCUUCCUUAGAUCCACCAGACAAUGGCUUCAAAGUAUUUAUGGCAAUUAGAAGAGGAACACUGUCUCCUAUUAGGACACACCUACCAGAUUCUUCUUUUGGACCUUGUCACGGUUGUUGCCAGUGAGCACGGAGCAGGAGGCAGAAUUUAGUGCUUGAAAUCUUCCAAUCUCUAGGCAGACUUCUUAAUGGCAGAAAUCAGGCCUUAUAAGGAGAAAAGUUGGAGAUGGGAAUUCUCUCUCUGGCAUAACUUGGAAGGAGGAAAGUUAGGGUGUGGGGGAGCAGAGAACUAGGCAUCGCACUGUUUGUUCCUUAACUUGAAACUGACAUUAACUGAAUUUAACUAAUAUUAUGCCAUAAUAUCGUUCCUAAUGUGAUAACCCACAGUCCCUGGGUUAAUUCUUGUUCUUCCCUGCAAAUGUAAAAUAUAUAUAUUAAGAAGCACUUAAGCAGAUAAAAAUAGAGCUCAGAUAUUUCUGCUUCAUUUGCUGCCCUCUGCCAGGUAGGUAGUGGCAACGGCAUUCACAGAGAUUUCCCUGUACUCUAGACGAGUUAGGUUCUAAGGGACAAGGUAGAGAUAGUCACAAACAAUAUUUCAGAUCUAGCACCAGCCUUCACAUAGGUUAAAAUAAAUUCAAUUAUAAAGAAAGGGAGGUCCUCACUAAUGAUGUAUCUGAAAAAAAAAUGCCAUUUUGUUUUAGAGUGGGUCUGAGGAAUAGAUGGCAAAUGUUCCCUCCCAAAAAUAAAGAUGAAAACUGGCAAACUGAGUUCAUUGUUCGGGUUCUGUCCCCAAAAGACUUUAUUUACCACCCGUUCUUUACCUAGUCAGUUAUUCUUUCAAGUCACACAGCAGUGAGUACUGACUUUUCUGGCAAGAGCCACACUUCCGACAUUCUGGAGAGCGGCCAUAGUUCUUUUCCAACCUUCUCAGAUGUGUGCAGAAAGCACAAAUAGAAAGCCUGGAAGCAUCCCUCGGGGGGCAGCCUUGGAGCUGGUGUUAGGCUAGACCAUCCAUCACACCCUCAUCUUACAAAGGGUUCAUUACUAUGUGAAGGCUGGAUGGGUUCCUCACACCCUCAUGGUACAAAGGGUUCAUUGCUAUCUGAAGGCUGGAUGGGUUCCUCACACCCUCAUCGUACAAAGGGUUCAUUGCUAUCUGAAGGCUGGAUGGGUUCUUCCUAGGACUAGG